UAUGAAUGAAAGGCAAGGACACUUACAGGCCUGUGUGGGAGGCCUUAGUCCUGAAAUAUGUGGAGUAAAAAUUAAAGUGACUUUGAGCAUGUGUAUGAUGCCUUUCCCUUCUGCACUGAGUAAUCCAACCAGACACAUCUCUGAAAUUGGAAGAAAAUGUUGCCAGCUUCAGCAACCAUUUACUUACGCGUGACUAAGCCAACUCCAGGGAUGUAAUCUGCAAGCAGGCGCAGCAGGAAGAGGAUCCUGCCCCUAAGGGAAUGGAGGAAAAACAGGUGAGCCCCUGGGAACAGU